UGAGUUUUGGGUUGAAUAGAGCUUAACUUGAUGUGUGGGUGUUGUGGUUUGGGCUCUUUCUUCUUGAAUUUCGUUUUUCAUGUUUGAAGCAAGGAUGGAACCAGAUUUUGGGGUUGUUAUUGUGGCUGGACAUACCUGGACUUGAUGGCUAAGAUAUUAUUUUCGUUUUUGCAAAGAAAAUUGAAGAAAUGGAAGAUUUGGUUGGGUUGAAUAAGUAGUAGUGUGGGUUUAUUGUUCUUGAAUGGUGUUGCAACUUGAAAUGGGGUUCCUUGGAGUGUGUUCACGGUUUUGGAGGUGGGAAGAAAUAUUUUGAAAGUUUGGUUGUUGAAGAAAAACGAAAAUGGAGUGGAGAAGGAAGAGAGAAGGUGUAAUUAAUUUUUUACCCGAUUUGGCCAAGCACAAAUGGAGCUACUUUUGACUAAGGGAACAUUUCCUCUUUAAGUUUUGUCCUAAAGCUUGUUUAAUUACCCCUUUGUUUUGCAUUAAUUUGCAUUGUAGGAUUAGUUGUUUUUAAUUUCUUUAAUUUAGUGUUGCAUUUAAUUUAAUUUAACUGUGCUUAGAUAUUUGUUUAGUUUAGUAUUUGGUUUAGCAUUUUCACUCUCUGGACUCGAUUUUAAAAUAAUAACUACAACCACACCAGAGGUCCAAAUGCUACGUUUUAUAUGUCACAUGAAAGAUAUUUGAAUCUAUUUUCCAAAAAAAAAAACCUCAUCUCAUUUAGAGCUCUGUAGAAAAAGUUAUGGGGAAAACAUUGAGCAAAGGUCAGAGUUGUCUAGUUCCAGCGUGAAAUUACUGUUUUCUGUAUUUUCGUAUUUACUGUAGCAGUUUCGUUUUUACUGUUUUAAUUUCAUCUUCAUGCAUGGUGAAAUGUGUUGUUGCAUUUAACUUCAUUUUAAUUUUUCCGCAUCCACAAACAACACCUUCAAACCCCCCCCCCC
rnacentral:lncRNA from 1 species